CUGUGUGAAUCACGAAUUAAGUAUCUUAUUUAUGUCCAAGGAGAAGGGAGCCAAUGUAUUUGUGCUGGCAUAGUGGUGAACUUGAGUUCUGAGUUUGAGGCUGGUCACUUCUCUAGGGCUCGGUUUUCCUAAUCCGUGAAAUGGGAGGUUUGUGCCAGAUGGUCCCUGAGGAGAUAGCAGGGCAGAGCUUCCUUUCUGCGCUUAAUGUCACCAUCUAUAGGAUUGGAGCCCAGGGACAGUCAGUGCCUCAGGUAAACUCCUCCAGUGACUUCAGGUUAGUGACUCUUUAAGGCUUUGAGACCCCAGUCCAGCAGGAGCCACUAAGGAAGCCGUCACUGUCAUCCUGGCUUUCGCAAGGGUGGUCACACUUGGCCAGAGCUGGAGGAAGGGCCUGGCAUUCUGGCCCAGGGGUGCAGGUUAGAAAGAGACCUUUUGUUGGUUGCAGUGUCUUGCCUCUCAGUUAGUACCGCACAGAGACCUCUGCGUGGAAGCCUUUUCUGGCAGAAAGGUCUGGGUGGUCUUGUUUACUCCAGCAUGACCAGAGAACAGACAGUUCUGCAGAGUGAACGUUAAAAGAAAAAAAAACAUCUACUAUAAUAAAGCGUAAUCAUCACGGAUAGCCCAGAACCCAGUUCCUAAGUCAAAAUAACAGCCUUGAAACAUUGGAAACACUUUCAUUAAGUGCUUAAGUUGGAUGAUAAAAUCUUGUGCCUAAGUCUGCAAUCAAAAACAAUAAAAUUCUCCUCC
rnacentral:lncRNA from 1 species